AUGUCGGAAAGAGAUAUGACAAUAGUUGUAAUGAAAAUACAUGAUAGUGAAGGGAUGUGAUUGGUAGCCAUAUGAUUUGAAAUAAUACACACCUAUUUAUAAGUGAGUGUUGAUAGAGAGAUAUAAUAGUGGAAGGAUGCAUCUCUUAUAAGUGACUAUUGGUAGAGGGACAUGAUGAUGAAGGGAUGCACCUCUUCACAAGAGACUGUUAAUUAAGGGAUGCACCUCUCCAUAGGUAACUAGUGAUAGUUUAUAAAAAUAAAUGAGAUUACAUCCUGAGUCACUCACUUUUCUUUCAAACACCACAACUAUUAUUCAUAUUAUCAUUCUCUUCCCUUCUUCAUCUUUAUUUCUUUUCAAGAAAGUUUGUAUUCCUAAAUUCCUUAGCAUAUUCAAUUAGAUCAUGGUCCAAUUUUUUUCAAAAAAAAAUCUAUUGUUAAAUAAAAAAACCUAUGAUGAAAAAUUAUGGAAGGAAAAAAAAAAUCAUUCCUCAUCUAUCAUAGAACAAAAUUUUGACCCAAGCUCUAGGUUUGUAGAGUGAACAAAUCUUCUUCUUUUUUUGUCCAUCUUUUCAAAUAUGAAAGAGGUUAAACCCAUCCUUCCCUCACAAUAAGUGAACUCUUAUUUUUAUGGAUAAAUUGUAAAAAGAAAUACUUCAUUGUAUAAAAAAAUACUCCUUUGCUUUUAUUCGGUGUUAGUAAAUACUAUUUGCUGAUGUAUGAGCAUACAAGUGAUUGUUAGACUGGUCCACUGAA
rnacentral:lncRNA from 1 species